rnacentral:rRNA from 1 species
UGGGGAAUAUUGGACAAUGGGCGCAAGCCUGAUCCAGCCAUGCCGCGUGAGUGAUGACGGCCUUAGGGUUGUAAAGCUCUUUCGCUCGCGACGAUAAUGACGGUAGCGAGAGAAGAAGCCCCGGCUAACUUCGUGCCAGCAGCCGCGGUAAUACGAAGGGGGCUAGCGUUGUUCGGAAUUACUGGGCGUAAAGCGCACGUAGGCGGAUUGUUAAGUCGGGGGUGAAAUCCUGAGGCUCAACCUCAGAACUGCCUUCGAUACUGGCAAUCUCGAGUCCGGAAGAGGUUGGUGGAACAGCUAGUGUAGAGGUGAAAUUCGUAGAUAUUAGCUAGAACACCAGUGGCGAAGGCGGCCAACUGGUCCGGUACUGACGCUGAGGUGCGAAAGCGUGGGGAGCAAACAG